ACGUAGUGAAUAAUGAAAGGACACAAUCGUUUUGUGUGUGUAUGCCUUUAGCAUUUGUUGUAUAAUGUUAAAAAGGUCAUAUGAGGAGGUUGUUUUCAUAUUUAAUUUUUCAUUCACUUGCAGGGAUAGGAUUGGCAUGGAAGAUGCAGAACUCUUUACAUUUUAAAUAUCAAAUGUAUAUCAAGUGUUAUCCAUGCUCAUAACACCUCCACAAAUAGAGACUGGAUCUUCUGGCACCAUCAUCUUGUCUGCUUUGGGACUGUCAUAGCCCAGCAAUCAGAUGCAUCAGAACAACAAAGCACAACUGUGGUGGCCCAGGAACCUUCAGCAACAAGUACAUUGCUUUAACAUUAAUGAUAAUGCAAUGUCAGUAUUGUAAUUAAACUUGACCCAUCUGACGUAAUUGUUCAUGCCAGAGAUUUAACAACAUUGUCAGUCAGGAGCAUAUUUAACUAACAGGAGGCACACUUCAGCUGGCUUGAUAGUGACUUCAGUGCAGUGAAGAUAUUUAAAGAGACACUAUCACAUAAAGUACAGAAAGCCUUACAUCAUCUCUAGGUGCAGUCGCCUACAGUGCAGCCAGCUUCACAAAGACUGUGGGGCUGGUCACCAGGGAAAUGGACAAUAGGGAGUGCUUUUGGGGUUUACUCCGAAGAUGACCACCCUGGCUACUGUAGCUGGGAUUGCUUCACUGAAGAUGGAGGUCUUGAAGAGUAAAGUGUGUGUGCGUGCACACACAUUGUGUAUUUACUGUAACAAUUAUGGUCACUUGCAGUUCAUGUGUUUUCAGUGUAGUCUAAGAUGUGUUUAUUAUUAUUACUCAAAAACAAUUAAAACUGCUAAAUUGUGGAAA